CCCUCGGCUCCAUCCGUCGUCCAUGGCUUCCCCGAGCCAAAUCACCUCCGGCCCUCCUCCAAGGAACCGUGAGGAAGAAGAAGCUCCGUCCUCGGAGGCCACUGGCCGCAACUGCCUACGAGAUCAUGCGGUUCCUGAUCUGUCCCUGGCUCGUCGGAGAGUCAGAGAAUGAUGUCUAUUGGGUUUUGGAUUGGUGGCUCAAGAACCGAUGCGAUACCACCGGUCUCCGCUAACGCUCUUUUUGUUCACAGUUUCCGUAUGGCUAAAUAUAACUUGCUGAACAGUAAACGAUCAAUGCCCAAUACAUCCUUUCUGAUGACAGACAAAGGACGUUCCCGAUAAUCCUGCGAACCAGAUCCUUGAGAACAGGGCCAGUUUAGACCAUCAUCCUUUUGGUUAAGGGAAAGUGUUAAAAGAAAUGUGAAAGCACGGUUAUUUUUCCUCGGAUCCAUUCGCAAAAGCAAAGAGAAGAAAUGGAGGAUCUGAUAAAGGACGUGGAAGAGAAGUUCAGAUUCUCGGUUGCAGACUCGACGAUGAUGUUGCUUGUGCAACAAGCAAUGGACAGAGCCCACGAGAAGAUCAAAACAGGGCCGAGUGUUCUGCUCCGUCUCAACGCCAUAUCCGUGUUCUACGAGUUCGCCGUGAUGCAACUCGACAGCUGUCUCAGCUUCGUCCAACAAGAAGCCGACAAUUCGGUCCUCGAGAGUAACCACAAGGAAGAGCUUUACGACCUCAGAGAGAUCAGAGACAGGCUUAAUCGCCGUCUCUUAGAAACCGAACUGGCCAUUCUUGAGAAAGACAGAGCCUUUCUGGAGAUGUCCGAGAAUGAGCAGAAGCUGAAACAGGUUCUUGAGUGUAAAGAAACCGAGUUGGUUCAUUUGCAGGAGAAUCUUGAGAGAAAGAGGAGCGAGGAACUCGAAGAAUUCAUCAAUAGCAGCAAAGAGGUCGAAUUCUCCGAGUUGAAGAAUCUGGUAGAUCAGCAAGUGAUGCACAUCAGGCAAAAGGUCGAACCGGAAUACGGUUCGCUCGACGAAGAAGAAGAGAAAACGAAUCCCAGGAUCGAUAACAACAAGAUCGAGAAGAUGGGUAUAGAUAUCGACGUGUUGAAAGGCACAAUGGAUCUUGCUUUCAGCAAAAUGCACAAUGCCAUUUUCUUAUUUGAGUUGAGGCCGAUAGAGCAGACAUGGAGAUGGUCGAUAGAGAAAGAUACUGAGGCUAUACUGAUUAAGGGUUUCAUGGAGAAUUGCAAGAACGACUUCGAAGAGGAAAGAAAGAAGCUAGAGAGGGAAGCCUCUGUCGUAUUCAGAGACUUUAUAUCAGACUUCACUGUUCAGAUCUCUUCAAUACGUAGGGAGGUGGAGUGUUUCGCCAUUCAGAACGAGAGCACGAGUAGGUCUCCGAGAUCUGCAGCAAGAACUUCAUUAGAUGAUGAUUCUGAUAAUAAUAAUGGUAAUAAAGAUGAAGAAGAAGAAGAAGAAGAAGAAGAUGCAGAGGCUGAGGAAGAUGGAGGCAACUAUGUAGCAAAGUUGAUAAAGAACCAUGAAUCCAUCAUUAGGAAAAAAAGCGAAGAGCUCGUUCCACUGAAACCAGAGCUUAUUACUAAACGGCAGAAGAACAAUGAUAGCUCGAAGCGGGUUAUAGACGAUAUCAUCACGAGACUAGACACUUUACUACUUGCCUUCAGCACAAAACUGAAUCAAAAUCUGUGGGAUGAUGAUGAUGAUGAUAAAGCUAAGAUUUUGAUGAAUACUUAUUCAGAGAGAAAGGCAUCUGGAACUGACAAUGAUCAUGAAGUAGUAGUCAGAGAUAGUUUAGAUGAUGUCUGGCUGAAAAUGCACAGAGGAACUGUUUCAGAUGAAGCGACCGCCAUUAGAACUCCGUGUGAAGACAAGGAAGAUGCAGAGACAAUGGCGAUGAUCUUGGAAGAUACUUACUUGACACUUUUCAAAGGUCUCAUGAAUGGGUUUUGCACGGACUUGCAAGCUUAUGGCAUUUGGAAUCUAAUAGCAGAAGUUCUGCACGGAAAUAUUAUCGACGAAAUCAUAAACAACGGAGAAGAGGAGAUUGAGAGUGGAAAGAUCAAAUUUGAGAUGAGGGAAGAUAUAUGCAGACUGGUUUUAGACAAUGCCUCAAGAAAUUGUGCAGAUUGUUUAGAGAGCAGCUUAAAAGAAGAUGUGAAUGGAGUUGUUUUCAAGGAAAUGCUGAGGGAAUGGGACAGAGUUACUGAAAGUCGUUGCAGAGAUGAAGAACUCAGACAAGAGAUAGAUGGGAUUCUGACACAAGAGAUUCUGAAACAAGUUUCAGAAGAUGCAAAUAACCAUGUAAGCGAAAUACAUGAACGAUACGAAUCAAGAAGCGAAAGGAUGAUUGAGGAGGAAAGGAGCAGAGCCCGUGGUUUAGUUCAGUGUUGCAGAAAAAUGACGCAAGUCUCGGAGGAUUUCGGGUCUAAGGUUCAAGAAAAGUUAAGGAUGGUGACUUUCAGAUUACUGCUAUUCUGCAGGUUGAAAGAAUUAGAGAUGAAGACGAUCGAUUGCAUAGGUUCAUUAAGAGAGAAAGAAUCGGUUUACAGAAGGGCUUUCACUCUGAGGUGUGAGAAUCUCAGAAAGGCAGAAGCUGAGUUUGAUGCAAUGUAUAGGUUGAUCUACUGGGAGAUCAAGUGGAUUUGCUGGUGGGAAUGCUCCAGAAAACACUUUGGACGUUGCAACAACAUCCUCGGAUUCUCCAAGACAACCCAGAUAUAUCGGAGAUUUCGAGGAAGAUCAAGAAAGAGUUGUUGGGAGAUGUUUCCUGUCGAGGAUGAGCCCAGAGGAUUGUUCGAUGUUACGAGGCGCCGGCGGUGAGGGAGGGAAGCCAUAAAGGGCAAUUUCGGAAGCCUAUCAAAGGAUUGCUGAUGGGCCCUAAACCCCACCCAAAAUCAAUUAGUAACCUUGACAAAGGCCAACUGUAAGCCCAUUAAAGGCCCAAUGGAGAUCGGACAGAGGAGUAGGAACGUG